rnacentral:rRNA from 1 species
CCCGGCGACCGGCGCACGGGUGAGCAACACGUAUGCAACCUGGCCGCCACAGGGGGAUAACCCGCGGAAACGCGGCCUAAUACCCCGUGACGCCACCGGAGGGCAUCCUCCGGUGGCCAAAGGAGCGACCCGGUGGCGGAUGGGCAUGCGGCGCAUUAGCUAGACGGCGGGGUGACGGCCCACCGUGGCGACGAUGCGUAGGGGUUCUGAGAGGAAGGCCCCCCACACUGGGACUGAGACACGGCCCAGACUCCUACGGGAGGCAGCAG